rnacentral:tRNA from 1 species
UCCCUGGUGGCUCAGAUGGUAAAGCAUCUGCCUACAAUGCAGAAGACCUGGGUUCAAUCCCUGGGUCGGGAA